UUCUCCAGUCGUUUAUAUGUACCCUGUAGAAUCGAAUUUGUGUGAGCACCUCAAUCACAAAUUCGUCUCUAGGGGAGUAUAUGGACGAUGCAGA
rnacentral:pre_miRNA from 11 species